UGCGUAGGUGGCGGGGUAAGUCUGAUGUGAAAUCUCCAAGCUUAACUUGGAAAUGGCAUUGGAAACUACUCUGCUCGAGGGUUGGAGGGGGGACUGGAAUACUUGGUGUAGCAGUGAAAUGCGUAGAUAUCAAGUGGAACACCAGUGGCGAAGGCGAGUCCCUGGACAACUCCUGACACUGAGGCACGAAAGCUAGGGAGGCAAACA
rnacentral:rRNA from 1 species